CACUCUCAGAUGGACCCGCGGCGCAUUAGCUAGUUGGUGAGGUAACGGCUCACCAAGACAACGAUGCGUAGCCGACCUGAAAGGGUGAUCGGCCACACUGGGACUGAGACACGGCCCAGACUCCUACGGAAGGCAGCAGUAGGGAAUCUUCCGCAAUGGACGAAAGUCUGACGGAG
rnacentral:rRNA from 1 species